rnacentral:rRNA from 1 species
UACGAAGGGGGCUAGCGUUGCUCGGAAUUACUGGGCGUAAAGCGCACGUAGGCGGAUUGUUAAGUCAGGGGUGAAAUCCUGGAGCUCAACUCCAGAACUGCCUUUGAUACUGGAGAGCUUGAGUCCGGAAGAGGUGAGUGGAACUCCGAGUGUAGAGGUGAAAUUCGUAGAUAUUCGGAAGAACACCAGUGGCGAAGGCGGCUCACUGGUCCGGUACUGACGCUGAUGUGCGAAAGCGUGGGGAGCAAACAGG